CAGGUCACUGUGUCCACCCCAGGGGUGUCCCACGGGUGCCGUGUCCACCCCAGGUCGCUCUGUCCACCCCAGGUCACCGUGUCCACCCCAAGGCACUCCGGCCAUCCCAUGGGUGCUGUGUCCACCCCAGGUCACCGUGUCCACCCCAGGGCGCUCCGGCCAUCCCAUGGGUGCCGUGUCCACCCCAGGUCACUGUGUCCACCCCAGGACACUCCAGCCACCCCAGGUCACUGUGUCCACCCCAGGGGUGUCCCAUGGGUGCCGUGUCCACCCCAGGUCCCUGUGUCCACCCCAGGGCACUGUGUCCACCCCAGGGUAUCCCAUGGGUGCCGUGUCCACCCCAGGUCCCCGUGUCCACCCCAGGGCGCUCCGGCCGCGCGGGGGUGCGGUGUCGGCGUGCGGGGGAGGGGCUCGGUCAGCGGGUCAGUGGCCGGAGUUGUAUUAACUGUGUUUUAUUGUCACUGCAGCCACCUUUGUGAUGGCUUUUGCCACUGCUGGCUUGCAGCCGCUCCCAAUGCUCCCCCCUCCACAGCUCAGUGUAUGGUUGGUAUAAGGGUUUGUAUCCUGGUAAGACACGUUUAUCGACCCCCGACCCCUCCCCAAAUUAAAA